UACGAAGGGUGCAAACGUUGCUCGGAAUUAUGGCGUAAAGCGCACGUAGGCGGCUUUGCAAGUCCGAUGUGAAAUCUUAUGGCUUAAACCAUAAAGUGCAUCGGAAACUGCAGAGCUUGAGUACUUAAGGAGGAUCGCGGAAUUCCCGGUGUAGAGGUGAAAUUCGUAGAUAUCGGGAGGAACACCAGUGGCGAAGGCGGCCUCUGGGACAACACUGACGCUGAGGCACGAAAGCGUGGGGAGCAAACAGGGGAUUA
rnacentral:rRNA from 1 species